UACGGAGGGUGCGAGCGUUGUCCGGAAUCAUUGGGCGUAAAGGGCGCGUAGGUGGCCCGGUCAGUUCGUGGUGAAAGCGCGGGGCUCAACCCUGCGUCGGCCAUGAAUACUGCCGCGGCUGGAGCACUGUAGAGGCAGGCGGAAUUCCGGGUGUAGCGGUGGAAUGCGCAGAUAUCAGGAGGAACACCUAUAGCGAAGGCAGCUUGCUGGGACGACACUGACGCUGAGGCGCGAAAGCGUGGGGAGCGAACAGG
rnacentral:rRNA from 1 species